CCUACGGGAGGCAGCAGUAAGGAAUAUUGGUCAAUGGACGCAAGUCUGAACCAGCCAUGCCGCGUGAAGGAUUAAGGCCCUCUGGGUUGUAAACUUCUUUUAUAGGGGACGAAAAAAGGGCAUUCUUGCUCACUUGACGGUACCCUAGGAAUAAGCACCGGCUAACUCCGUGCCAGCAGCCGCGGUAAUACGGAGGGUGCAAGCGUUAUCCGGAUUUACUGGGUUUAAAGGGUGCGUAGGUGGGUUGGUAAGUCAGUGGUGAAAUCUUCGAGCUUAACUCGGAAACUGCCAUUGAUACUAUCAAUCUUGAAUCAUCUAGAGGUAAGCGGAAUAUGUCAUGUAGCGGUGAAAUGCUUAGAUAUGACAUAGAACACCAAUUGCGAAGGCAGCUUACUAUGGAUGUAUUGACACUGAGGCACGAAAGCGUGGGGAUCAAACAGGAUUAGAUACCCUGGUAGUCCACGCCCUAAACGAUGGAUACUCGACAUUUGUGAUAUACUAUAAGUGUNUGAGAGAAGANAUAAUAUACCACCAGAGAGACGUAAGUAGAANANAAAGAAGUAGAGAGNGAGAGAGCGACGACGACGACGAGGAGGAGGAG
rnacentral:rRNA from 1 species